rnacentral:rRNA from 1 species
UACGUAUGGUGCAAGCGUUAUCCGGAUUUACUGGGUGUAAAGGGUGCGUAGGCGGCAUGGCAAGUCAGAAGUGAAAACUGAGGGCUUAACCCUCAGACUGCUUUUGAAACUGUCAGGCUAGAGUACAGGAGAGGAAAGCGGAAUUCCUAGUGUAGCGGUGAAAUGCGUAGAUAUUAGGAGGAACACCAGUGGCGAAGGCGGCUUUCUGGACUGAAACUGACGCUGAGGCACGAAAGCGUGGGGAG